rnacentral:rRNA from 1 species
GUGGCGAACGGGUGCGUAAUACGUGAGAAUCUGCCCUUAGGAGAAGAAUAACUGCUGGAAACGGCUGCUAAAUCUUCAUAUGUCGAGAGAUGAAAUAGCUUAGGCUGCCUAAGGAUGAGCUCACGCCUGAUUAGCUAGUUGGUGAGGUAAUGGCUCACCAAGGCCACGAUCAGUAGCUGGUUUGAGAGAACGAUCAGCCACACUGGGACUGAGACACGGCCCAGACUCCUCCGGGAGGCAGCAGUGAGGAAUUUUCCGCAAUGGGCGAAAGCCUGACGGAGCAAUACCGCGUGAGGGAUGAAGGAUUUUGGUCUGUAAACCUCUUUUCUCAAGAAAGAAGUUCUGACGGUACUUGAGGAAUAAGCAUCGGCUAACUCCGUGCCAGCAGCCGCGGUAAUACGGGGGAUGCAAGCGUUAUCCGGAAUCAUUGGGCGUAAAGCGCCUGUAGGUUGUUUAAUAAGUCUGUUGUUAAAGACUAGGGCUUAACCCUA